UGAAAAAAAAAUUAAAUUUGAUGAUCAUAAAUAAUAGACGCUAAUCUUGAAGACACCAUAACAUCAAGCACAGCAAAGGACGCAAGAAAAUGAAGCUGCUUAAAAAACACAUAUUCCCCAGGCAGGUGGUGGUGUUCGCUUGCGGGCUCCUCGUAUUGGGUGCAACCACGUAUGACGUCCACAGGACCAUUAAGAACAACGAGGAGCCGCCGUCGAGGGAGCAGAUCCAAGCUCUUCAAGACUACCUCCACUCCAAACGCCAUCCUCCUUCCCAUCCUUGAACAAAAACCACCGAACUCACUUUGUUUGUCUGAUGUAAUGUACGAGUUGGAUGAUAUGUUUCACGAAUAAACUUUUAUUAUGCGCGUAGUAGUUAUGUCAUUGUUCCGCU